AUACCCGCUGAACUUAAGCAUAUCAAUAAGCGGAGGAAAAGAAACCAACAGGGAUUGCCCUAGUAACGGCGAGUGAAGCGGCAACAGCUCAAAUUUGAAAUCUGGCGCAAGCCCGAGUUGUAAUUUGUAGAGGAUGCUUCUGGGUAGCGACCGGUCUAAGUUCCUUGGAACAGGACGUCAGAGAGGGUGAGAAUCCCGUAUGUGACCGGCCCGCACCCUGUACGUAGCUCCUUCGACGAGUCGAGUUGUUUGGGAAUGCAGCUCUAAAUGGGAGGUAAAUUUCUUCUAAAGCUAAAUACCGGCCAGAGACCGAUAGCGCACAAGUAGAGUGAUCGAAAGAUGAAAAGUACUUUGGAAAGAGAGUUAAAAAGCACGUGAAAUUGUUGAAAGGGAAGCGCCUGCAAUCAGACUUCGCGGCAGUGUUCCGCCGGUCUUCUGACCGGUUCAUUCUCUGUCGCGAGGCCAUCAUCGUCUCGGCCCGCUGGAUAAGACCUUGGGAAUGUAGCUCACCUUCGGGGGAGUGUUAUAGCCUAUGGUGAUGCAGCGAGGCCGGGGCGAGGUCCGCG
rnacentral:rRNA from 1 species